rnacentral:rRNA from 1 species
AGAACGAACGCUGGCGGCAUGCCUAAUACAUGCAAGUCGAACGAACUCUUCGGAGUUAGUGGCGCACGGGUGCGUAACGCGUGGGAAUCUGCCCUUGGGUUCGGAAUAACAGUUGAAACGACUGCUAAUACCGGAUGAUGACGAAAGUCCAAAGAUUUAUCGCCCAGGGAUGAGCCCGCGUAGGAUUAGCUAGUUGGUGAGGUAAAGGCUCACCAAGGCGACGAU